GGGGAUGAUCGGCCUAGACAGGCGAUUCCCUCUUCUUGGUGCUAUGCCGAGAAUGCUCGAGAUCUCGUUAAAUCUCGAACCCAACCUAGUUGCAAAAAACAACCUCGUUGCAAAAGCAAAGGCUAUCGUAUCACCAUAUUUUGGUGCUAACGCCUUUGCUCCUGCUUACGCUUUCGUAGCCUAAACAGCACUCAGAUUCAGUACGCCCUCUAGGGAAUUCUGGGUGAUAUAAAAAGAGGGCUCAUCACUUUGAAUGACUCUACAAAGUGAAAAAACAUAGAGUAUCGGUAAUUUGUGAUUUAGAAUAAUUUAUACACAAACUACUUAAACCCAAAAUAAUUAUUCUACGCACAGUAGAUUCCACGAAGAACAUCAUCUGCACGGGGGUUCGAUUCCCCCCAUCUCCACAA
rnacentral:tmRNA from 1 species